CGGGACAGCCACAGCCUGCUGCUGCUCAAGGCCUCCACGGUGCUGCAGGGCCAGCUAUCUCAGGACCCUGGAUUCCUGGAAUUGUCUGACAGAGUGGAAGUCUGUUCUCCAUCCCCUGACAAGCCGCACACUCCAAAACAGGUUAUUUCGGUCACCCCAGCCACUGGUUCUCUGGCCUGACAUGUGUCUAAAUUAAAUUGCUUUUAAAUACCCAUGCCACCGGGCUAAGCAAGCUGCAUUGUCUAUUCUGCCAGGACUGUCUUCAGUGACGAUUCUUUUUGUCACCAGUGAAGCUGGCCUUGUCCAGAGAGCAACAUGGUCUCAGCUAGUCAACCCUCCUGGCAGCUGUCAGUCUGGAGCUUGGUGAUCCUCAUUGCUUAACCUUCCGAGCCUGCUCUGUUGUCCUUUGUGGACUUAGAUUCUAGUUCGUAUUGAUUUUUGGUUUCCUUACCAAAACUCGCACAGAUGGUAAGCGUCUGACUCAGUGCAUGGCAAACUGUGUGUGUGUGUGUGCCGAUAACCUCAGUUCUGUCACCCAAGAAGCUCUCUUGUGCCCCCUUUUCACUAACUCCUGCCUCCAUUAUUUUCCCUUCUCUCCAUAGAUGACCUUUGCCUUGUUUCAGACUUCAUGUAAAUGUAACCGUGGUGCAAAGGAGAGAGCUCAGCCUGAAAAGCCAUUGUUAAAUUCAAUCCCAGCACCCAUGUAGAGACCUGUGUGGCAGUGCUGGCUUGAACCUCUGUGUU
rnacentral:lncRNA from 1 species